GUACCGUUUGCUUCAAAAAAAGACAGAAACAUGACAGCCGGGGGACAGGCGGUGCUGUUAAACGGACUGGAGACUUGAGAGCGGGCCGAGCUCGAUCCUUUUGUGACAAUGUGACGAGGCAAUGAUUUGAGUUCAGGAGACUUUGUCGCGCUGAAAUGUGGAGGUGUCCAGACUGGAGGGGGACCACCACCUCUCAAGCUGUUAUUGACCUCAGGACCAGUUGUUAAGACUUGGAACCUGACUGGAGACCAGAGUUGAUCGAAUGGGACAUUUUUGGGAUUCAGAGCUGUUAAGACAGAUGGGGAGGGUCAAGACUUGGAACCUGACUGGAGACCAGUUGAUCGAAUGGGACACUGCAGGGACUCAGAGCUGGUUGGCUCAUGGCGACUCAUCCUAGAGGAGAGGGACACUCACUGUCGAUGGUUAUAAUAAUCUGGUUUACUUAAUUGAGGUUUCCCUAACCUCCAGAGGAGUGCUGCCCCUGAGGUGUUUUCAAAGUGAAGAUGUCACCAAACAUAAAAUAAUGUUGGGUGUGUUGUAGCAGUUUGCAUUUGUUGAAUAAACAGUGGUUUGGUAAA